GUCGUCGGUCAGUGUGUUGUGGAAAUGUGGGGUGAGGUCAAACAAUCUUUGAUUUCAAAUGGCCAAUAUGAAGUUGACACGAUGACUGCUAUUGGAGAGAACAAGUUUUACAAUCUAACUGUGAAGUUUCCAGGUAAUAAAGUGUGGUACUUCCAAGAUGGUAUCAACCACCCGACCCGCUACCAAUCACAUCUUCUGCUAGGCAUUUCUGUGUCUUGCCAGAAAUUUGGAAAAAACACAACAAGAAAAGUCAUUUUAGAAUAUGAAGAAACUGUCAGUUUACUUGCCAUAGUCUGUUACACAGUUAUAGGAUAGGCCUCUCCCUAUUUCCCAAGCUCGGUGGUACCAGUGUCACACUGUUUUGAUGUUGGUUUGUUUGUUUGUUCUAUGAAAUUAGUGUGACAUAAUGUUUGUGUAAGUUAAAGGUGCUCUAAGCGAUGCUGGGUAACGUCACUUCUUUU